CUGGCUCCUGGAAACUUGAGCAGAGACUGGGUCCUCUACUCUUUUUCAGAAGUUCUCCCAUGAGGGUGUGAGUGGCCAGGGAGAUGUCCUGAAAGGGAUUCUGGGCUCGGAGUGGCUUAGAGGGCAGUUUCCCACGAAUUUUCCAAUUUUCUUCAGUCAGAAAGUGAGCGACCCAUGACCAGUCCCAUGCCCCGAGCACAGCCCAGCAGAGCUCAGAGUUGGUCCACAGCAUGUAGGGGGGUGGGAAUGAUGACCAUCGCGGCAGAGCCCACGCUGGCCAGCACAGCUGGUGCUCCACAUUUUAAGCAGGAGUGGACACACGUACCCAGGAUCUCCCAAACCCGUGCAGGCCAACCCACCCCGGUCUGAGUCAGCUUUCUCAUCCAGACUUGAGUCUUAGUUAGAGCACUGCCUUAGCCUUUAGUGAGGCCCCCAAAAUGAUGUCAAUGUUCACGCUCAGCUGCCCUCGCCUCAACCAGGCUAAUGAGGAUGGGGAAAAAGUUCUUUGUUUUAGGCCAAAUGGGUCUUCUCUAACUGCAGCUGUUUUCUUUUUUUGUUCCUACAAGUGCUGGGCCCACCCACAUAGUUUAAAGCCAAGAUCAGGACAGAGAUGGAGGGAGCUGUCCCCUGGCCACCCUGAUACCUGCUGUUGGAAAUCAACAAACAAACACAAACCCACUUUGCGUUCUGUGAGUGUGCAUGUAUGUUGGUCCCUAGGUGCUGCAGGACAAGAGGAGGGCCAGAAAGCUCUGCCCAUGCCUGGGGAGCAUGCUGGAUCUCCCUUCCAGCUACAGAAGAGGUCUAUGGUUUCUUAGACACGCGUGGAUUCUCACAGCCACCACCACAGACAGUACAAGCAACAGUUCCAAUACUCCAGAGAACGCCCUCAUCUCUCCUCACCCCUGCCUUCUGGCAAGCAAUGAGCUGUUCUCUGUUCCUGUAUUUUUGCCUUUUCUAGAAUGCCAUAUAAAUGGAAUUAUAUAGAAUGUGCCCUUUUGGUACUGGCCUCUUUUGUUCAAAAGAAUAAUACCUUUGAGAUUCAUCCAUGCUGUUGUUUGAAUCAAGCAUGUUAACUUUUAUUGCUGAGUAGUAGUCCAUUGUGUAGAUAUAUUACAGUUUUUUAAAAAUCUACCCCUGUCGAAGGACAUUUGGGUUGUUUUCAGUUCUUGGUGAGGAUGAACAUUUGUGUGCAGAUUUUGUGUGGACUUAAAAUCUUG
rnacentral:lncRNA from 1 species